UACGGGGGGAGCAAGCGUUGUUCGGAUUUACUGGGCGUAAAGAGCUCGUAGGCGGCUUAGUAAGUCGGGUGUGAAACCUCCAGGCUCAACCUGGAGACGCCACCCGAUACUGCUGUGGCUAGAGUCCGGUAGGGGAGCGUGGAAUUCCUGGUGUAGCGGUGAAAUGCGCAGAUAUCAGGAGGAACACCAGCGGCGAAGGCGGCGCUCUGGGCCGGUACUGACGCUGAGGAGCGAAAGCGUGGGGAGCAAACAGG
rnacentral:rRNA from 1 species